CUUGAGAUUGGAAGCGUUGAAGCGGGGCACCUGAUUUGGUCGCUUGUCGGGUUUGUAGGAAUCGACGGAGUCCCGUGGAGCGAGUAGCGAAACCGACCGCAAUGG
rnacentral:ncRNA from 24 species